UCCGGUUUAACACCGGCGGUCUCCCUAGAGUCCCCAACUUAAUGCUGGUAACUAAGGACAGGGGUUGCGCUCGUUUUUGGACUUAACCAGACAUCUUACGACACGAGCUGACGACAGCCAUGCAGCACCUAUCUCCAGGUCACCGAAGUGAAGCAUACAUCUCUGCAUGCGUCCUGGGAUGUUAAGAGUAGGUAAGGUUCUGCGCGUUGCUUCGAAUUAAACCACAUACUCCACCGCUUGUGCGGGCCCCCGUCAAUUCCUUUGAGUUUUAGCCUUGCGACCGUACUCCCCAGGCGGGAUACUUAAUGCGUUAGCUUCAGUACUCAGGAGGUUAACUUCCCAAACACCUAGUAUCCAUCGUUUAUGGUGCGGACUAC
rnacentral:misc_RNA from 1 species